GAAUUUUAUAUAAAUUUUGUAAAAAAUUUAAUAUGUAUUUUAUUAAAUUUAUAUUUUAUUGGGAGGAUGAUUAAAUUAAAUAAACUUUAAAAUUAAAAAAAAUCCAUUAAUUUAUGAGUUAUAGUAUAUAGAAUGGCUAAAUAAAGUUUAAUUAGAAUUAAUUACCUCAGGGAUAACAGCGUUAUAUUUUUAGAGAGAUCUUAUUAAUAAAAAUGUUUGC
rnacentral:rRNA from 1 species